ensembl:lncRNA
UUUAAGGGUUGGCACUGGAAGUGUGGGUAUCUUGCUGGAGGUUCCUGCGUACCUGAAGCCUUCCAAAGGACAAGUAGAGGCUGAAUUGCGUCUGUCCCAGAGGAACCAUGAAUUAAGUCUCUGCAAUCAGUGACAGUUCUGACUUUGGAAACGGGCACGAGCUGGUUUUUCCAAGCGAUCGAGUUACCACAGUUUAAGAGAUUUUCAAAAGCAAUUGCAACAGCCUGAGAGCAUCCACACAGGAAGUUACAGCUCAGCUGGCGCAUGGCAAACCGUGAAGCUGCGUGUUUUCCAGCUAUGCACAUCUCUCCUUUAUCAUUGGACUUGUGAUGGCUCAGUGAUUAUACAGUACUUCAAAAAUCGGAACUUGGCCAAAUUACUUCUCCUUCAUGCCAUUUAGACAGAAGGCUUUCAUAAAAAUUAAACAUUCUGCCUAGACAUGCUACAAUCACACUUCUGAUGGCAAAGUACACAUCCCUUAGGAGGUGCUGAACACUUGGAACUCCCACUGACUUCACUGCUCCCAGUUUUCGGUUUAUAUCAGCUGUGCAGAUGUGUUGCUUCACCAGACCAGAAUGUUACUUCCUCUGUCAGCAAUUUACUCUGGAAAGCAAUGAAAGAUUUAGCAGUUGGAUUUCAGAAUUAAACGUGAAGUCAAAACGAGCUCUUUUCCUGUGAGUCACCAGCACUUCUGCCCCCUCAGAGGGGAUGAAGCCUUCCUCUUGCUGAUGACCGGGUUCCUGUUUGAUCCUGUUUAUAAGCUUCCGAAGACUGAAAAUAAGCUCAACUCCUCUGCAUCGGGUAGGAAAACAAAACCCUAUAGAGCCAUACUGCAAUUACUCUGGAGGGCUAGCAAUAUGGAAGAGUGGGGUGUGAAGGAAGAGCUUGUGGGGAAAAAAAAGGAGAAGGUUACUAGGUUACCACAAAAGACAUUAGUGUACACAGUUUUUCUCACCCACUCUUUUGGACUGGGGAGGAGGGGAAGGAGUGGGCAUAUCUGUAAAUGAAAAAGACUGUUCCCCACAAUGUGUAUUUCAAGUGUAGAUGCUUAAAGUUUAUCUAUGCUAUCUGUUACUUGUUCAAGCAGCGCUGUUGUUCUGUUUCAACAUGUUCAAAACCUCCCAAAAUGUAAUUUUGAAAGAUUUAGAGGGUGUGAGUAUCAUUUAGAAAUUUUCUGCUGAAAUUAAAAAAAAAAAAAAGAAUCCCUAAAUUAUUAUCAACUUCUGUGUAUGUACGUAUAUAUAUUUACAGACAAAUAUUUAUAAAAUUAGUAUUGAUGCCUACGUAGUAUAAGCAGUAGAUUUUUUAGAAACGCUUUAUAAAAUGACAUACCUUGCAGUUAGGGAGAGUGGGUGGAGGAGAAUUCAGUUGAAUGUUACUGUUGGCCUGGCAGGAGCCUCAGCUCCAGGUAAUUCCACAGUUAGAGCAUCACCUCAAUCCCGUAGUUGUCUAUGCUUAACCUGGCUGCCAUGAGUAGUAAAUAUUUGCAGAAUUAUGGGUUGAUGGUCAAGCACCUCCUUAAGGUGUGUUAUGGUUUUGUUUUAUUGCUCUUUAUCUUGCUGUCAGGAAGAGUGGAAUGUGUGAAAUGCUUCUGAGUGAAAUGCAGUGAGAUUAUCCUAGGGUUAGGCUUCAUCUAGUCUGAUCGGGUUGCUGUCAUAGUCAUGUGUUCUUGGAUAAUCUGUCCACAUGCAGAGGGCUGUUCCGUGGUUCUUGUCGGGACAAAAUUUAUAAUUAACUCCAAAUGUGGGUUUGUGAGAAUAACGGAUACUAUUCUGGUGUAAAUCAGUGGUUUUAUGCUUUAUAGUGAGGCCAUAGGAAUGUACCUGAGGUGACAAUCCAAGUUACAGCAUUUUAAAAUGAGUGAUUAAGCACCGAAAAGUUUUGUGAUUCACUUUUCUCUUUUCUAACUGUCAGAAGUCAGUUGUGACAUUCAUGUAUUUCUUCCUCUUCUAAGUAAUCUUAUCAAAGAAGAAAUCGCUAAUUUACUAACCAAUGCUUAAUAAUCAAGGAAGUGAAACUUCUACUUGAGAGGAAAAAAAAGCAAUUCUUUGCUGAUUUGCUGAAUGAUUUUAAAUAAUGUAAGCUCUCCAUGUACUGGGCAAAUGACUGUUUUUUUUUUAAGGCUUUCAUUCUGAGAAGGGGUCACCAGCCUUUGAGAAUGAGCCGCUUUGUUGACAAAUCUGUCCUCUAAACCGAAUGGCAUUAAUUAGAAUGUCAAGCUGCAGAUCCUUACUUACUUUUUGAUGUGGGUGGGGUUAUCAACAAAAAAUUUAUAAUAAAUUUGAUUGAAGAUGAUUUUAAAAGGUCUGCCACCUGUAGAUAAAAAUGUGCAUUACUACACAUGAUAAUUACCAAGACUGAAGGCCAUGACAUGAUCCAUUGACCUUUUGAAAUCAGAACACUUACUAUAAAGAAAAAAAAGGCACCGAUUUCUCCAGCUAUGUUAAAAUAGGACAUGUCUAUGUAUUCAACUGUAUCGGUGCACUGUAAUAUAUCUAGGGAAAAAGACACUUCGGAUUAUCUGUUAGACUCAAGUUUCCCGUCUUCUCCUCUGCGGGCUUAUAAAUCUCUGACUGAUUUUGUAUGUGUUGAGAGAUCUUUUUUUGAUCUAAUGAAAUCACUAAAAACAUUCAGGUGUCUGAGACGGGAGCAAAACAUCUCUGAGCCACCCUACAAAAAUAAACUAGUUUUGUGUGUGGAGGAUGAAAGAGUACAGAAACAGAUUUCAGCUUCAGGCUUUCUAGAGGGGCAUUCGCGGUGAGGGGGGGGGGGGGGGAGGGGGGAGAGAAAUAACCCAGCAACUAUCAUUGUAAAAAUUAUGAAAAGCCCUUUGAUGGUCCUUUUUAAAGUCAGCUCACUAAAUGGGGGCCAAAGCAAAAGCCUGAAAGGCAACUCGUAGCUUGCCAUUAACAGCGUAGUCCCAUCGCUGCUGUUUGCGGCUGAGAAUGAGUGUUUCUGCGUGCAGUAAUGGUGAGAAAAACUAAAGGGAAAUAAAGGAUGCGAAUGAAAGAUUUUCUGUUUUCAUAUGAGUACUUGGAACACCAAGCAAGCGAAGAAGCGGCAAUUUUAGCUAAGCUUAAUGUAAUAGAAGACCACUGCACCCAAACUGUCUCAGCAGAACUUCCUGCAUAAUUAGAUUGUAAAUCUUCUCAACUGAGGACGUUUUGCCCAGGGUCAGAUUGUCUAAGUAAUAAUCCAUUCUACAUAAAUUAGAAGAUUUGAACUGCUGGGAUACCUUAUUACAUUAGUUUUGUUUUUAUUCCUAAUAUAACUAAGGAGAACAAAUGCAACAAUUCUUUUUCCUUUUCUUCUUUUUAAUUAUGUUUCAUCUCUUUAACUUUCGAUUACCUCAGAAGGCCUUUCCUUGUAGAUUUUGGAUUUUUCCUGGGCAGUGAUGAUGAAGUUGCCAUCUAGGCAAAUUAAUAUAUUUUUAAUGUACUUCAGAAAGCGAUACCAGUG